GGAUGUGAGGGCAGUCUGGCUGCGACAUCUGUCACCCCAUUGAUCGCCAGGGUUGAUUCCGCUGACUUGGCUGGGUAGGCAGGUGUCCCCUUCCUCCCUCACUGCUUCAUGUGUGUCUGUCCCAAAGCUUCACGCUUGGUUGACGAGGAUGACCAUCCCUGUUAGAAGAGCACUGUUUUUCAGUCAAGGGUAGCUAUGCUCCCCUGCUUGAACCUCCAAACAAGCUCUCAAAAAAGGAAAGAAAAUAAAAACAAAAACAACCAACCAAUU
rnacentral:snRNA from 1 species